ACGGGUGAGUAACGCGUGGGAAUCUACCGUGCCCUGCGGAAUAGCUCCGGGAGACUGGAAUUAACACCGCAUACGCCCUACGGGGGAAAGAUUUAUCGGGGUAUGAUGAGCCCGCGUUGGAUUAGCUAGUUGGUGGGGUAAAGGCCUACCAAGGCGACGAUCCAUAGCUGGUCUGAGAGGAUGAUCAGCCACAUUGGGACUGAGACACGGCCCAAACUCCUACGGGAGGCAGCAGUGGGGAAUAUUGGACAAUGGGCGCAAGCCUGAUCCAGCCAUGCCGCGCGAGUGAUGAAGGCCUUAGGGUUGUAAAGCUCUUUCACCGGAGAAGAUAAUGACGGUAUCCGGAGAAGAAGCCCCGGCUAACUUCGUGCCAGCAGCCGCGGUAAUACGAAGGGGGCUAGCGUUGUUCGGAAUUACUGGGCGUAAAGCGCACGUAGGCGGAUAUUUAAGUCAGGGGUGAAAUCCCAGAGCUCAACUCUGGAACUGCCUUUGAUACUGGGUAUCUUGAGUAUGGAAGAGGUAAGUGGAAUUCCGAGUGUAGAGGUGAAAUUCGUAGA
rnacentral:rRNA from 1 species